AGCAACAAGACCUGCAUUUCCUGCCAUCGUCGGCUCAGUGUAGCUAUAAUUCGCCCUGACAUCCAAGAAGCCGUCAAACCGGUCAGGGCCUCCAACCAUGGCACCUGUGAUGGUGUUGGGAUUAGGCGAUUUCGUGUCCCGCCACUUCCACCCACCAGUGCAGCUGUGCUUCGAGCCGUCAUGUGGGAUGGAGGCGCCACGGUGGUGGACAUGCUUCGGGUAGCUCUUCCCAAACCCGACCACAUAGCUCAUCUUGCGAGGAUUCGCCCCCAAAAUGUAGUCCAGCUGAGAGGCAGCGAAGGUUCGUAGA
rnacentral:misc_RNA from 1 species